UGGGGAAUAUUGCACAAUGGGCGCAAGCCUGAUGCAGCCAUGCCGCGUGUAUGAAGAAGGCCUUCGGGUUGUAAAGUACUUUCAGCGGGGAGGAAGGGAGUAAAGUUAAUACCUUUGCUCAUUGACGUUACCCGCAGAAGAAGCACCGGCUAACUCCGUGCCAGCAGCCGCGGUAAUACGGAGGGUGCAAGCGUUAAUCGGAAUUACUGGGUGUAAAGCGCACGCAGGCGGUUUGUUAAGUCAGAUGUGAAAUCCCCGGGCUCAACCUGGGAACUGCAUCUGAUACUGGCAAGCUUGAGUCUCGUAGAGGGGGGUAGAAUUCCAGGUGUAGCGGUGAAAUGCGUAGAGAUCUGGAGGAAUACCGGUGGCGAAGGCGGCCCCCUGGACGAAGACUGACGCUCAGGUGCGAAAGCGUGGGGAGCAAACAGG
rnacentral:rRNA from 2 species